UUUGAAUCUUAUUAUUAAUUUUUCUUCUUAAAUUUUUAUUUAUUAUAAGAAAAAAUUAUUUUAUUAUUUUUUUAUAAAAAAUUUUUUUAAUUAUAGAUUAUUAGUAUUGACUGAGAAUUAAGUUUUAAUUUAAAAAGAAAAUUUAAUUUAUUGUACCUUGUGUAUCAGGGUUAAUUAAAAAUAAUAAAUUAUUUUAAUUUCCCGAAUUAAGGAGAUUUAAGUUUAUAUUUAUUUAUUUGUAAAAUAAUAUUUUUUAAUAUAGAUUUGGAAAUGAAACGUUUUCGUUCUUUGUAUAUCUGGUUUUUUAAGAAAAUUAUUUAAUUUUGAUAUUAUAUUUAAUUUAUUAAUUUAUUAAUAACUUAUUUUUAAUAUUUUAUAAUUGAUGGGUAAGCUUUCAAUUAAAUUUUUAUAAUUUUUUAUUGUUAAUAAUAGUUUUAUAGGAUUAUAAAUUUUCAUUUUUUAGUUUGUUAUAAUAAGUUUAUUUUUAAUAAUAAUUUUUAUCUAUUUAAUUUUUAUAUUAAAAUGUAUUUUUUAAUUUUAUUGAAAUAUUAAUAAUGGUUAAAUUAGUAAUUUUUUUUUAAUUUGUUUUUAUGAUUUAAAAUAAAUAAGAGGAACUAGACAAUAGAAAUUUUCGCCUGUUUAUUAAAAACAUGUCUUUUUGAUUAUAAUAUAAAGUCUGGCCUGCCCAAUGAUUAAUUUAAUGGCCGCGGUAUUUUAACCGUGCAAAGGUAGCAUAAUCAUUAGUUUUUUAAUUGAAAACUGGAAUGAAUGGUUUGACGAGAAAUUAUUUGUCUCUUGUUUAUAAAUUGAAUUUUAUUUAUAAGUUAAAAAGCUUAUAUGAUUUUAAAAGACGAGAAGACCCUAUAGAGUUUUAUAUAAAUUGAAAAUUUUUUAAUUUUGAGUUUAUAUUUUGUUGGGGAGAUAGAAAAAUUCAAAAAACUUUUUUUUUAUUUAUUUACUUAUAAGUAUAAAUUUGAUCUUUAAUUUAUGAUUAAAAGAUUAAAUUACCUUAGGGAUAACAGCGUAAUUUAUUUUUAGAGUUCUUAUCAAAAAAUAAGUUUGCGACCUCGAUGUUGGAUUAAAAUUUAAUUAUAAUGAAGAAGUUAUAAUUUUUGGUCUGUUCGACCAUUAAAAUUUUACAUGAUCUGAGUUUAAACCGGUGUGAGCCAGGUUGGUUUCUAUCUUUAAAAUUUUAUUAUAAUUUAGUACGAAAGGACCAAUUAUUAAGUAUUAUAUUUUAUUUUGAUUAUUACU
rnacentral:rRNA from 1 species